UGCCAGCAGCCGCGGUAAUACGGAGGGUGCAAGCGUUGUCCGGAUUUAUUGGGUUUAAAGGGUGCGUAGGCGGACAAUUAAGUCAGUGGUGAAAUACUUCGGCUCAACCGGAGAGGUGCCAUUGAUACUGGUUGUCUAGAGUACAGACGAGGUAGGCGGAAUUUAUGGUGUAGCGGUGAAAUGCAUAGAUACCAUAAAGAACACCGAUAGCGAAGGCAGCUUACUAGACUGUAACUGACGCUGAGGCACGAAAGCGUGGGUAGCGAACAGGAUUAGAUA
rnacentral:rRNA from 1 species